CCAUGCGGGACGUGAAAGGGAUUCCUACAUUCUGGCGCCCGAACAGGGACUUCUGGAGGAGAAGGUAUUUUUUGCCUAAGAGCGAAGGAAGGAAAAAAUUACACUGAGAAAAGGUGUGGAUAAUUCACCGGAAAAAGGUGAGGAAAGUUCACCGCACGCAAAAGCCCACGUCCAGCUGCAGAGUCGUGAACUAAAACAACUCCAAGACCAUGUGGAUUCCUGCAACAGAGAGGAAUUGACAGGAAUGCUCCAGCCAUGAAGACAAGAGGAGAAACAGUCCAGAGAUGGAAGACGCUGACGACGCUCUGCCAUGCUAGCAGUCAGUGGAUGUGCGUCACUGCAGGUUGCCCAGGACCAAACCAGAGGUCGGACCUGCAUUACCACCAUCUGUCCACCAUCCAGAUACCAUUGCUGACAUGUUCUCAAAAAACUGUUGGGACAUUGAAACUGGGAUUCAAAAACUGUUGGCCCAGAAAGAAACUUACUGCAGACUGAUUUCAUUUGACUCUCAGCAUAGCCAUUGUUGCUUGUAUCAUUUUUUGUUCUUAUAUGUUUAUUUCUAGUCUGCAUAUGCAAGAUUUUUUAAGAAAAGAAAACGAGGGAGAUGCCGGAAACAAAUCAGUUUCACUAAAAGAGAGAUGCUGACAGGAAGCCAACAACCUUAUUGCUCUAACCACUCACCCUUUAGUUGAGAUAUUGUUAGCUGAAGCAGCCUCCACCUUUGUUUGUCCCAUGUAAGUUUCUGUUUAUCUUGCCUAAGAUGUUUUCCCGAAAGCCUCAAUAAAAGGGAUGGCAGGGCCAGAGCAGUGAGUAGUUCUCCCACUAGAGGUGGACUACCACCUGGCCCCCCAUAUCACCAAAUUGAAUUUC